rnacentral:rRNA from 1 species
AGAUUGAACGCUGGCGGCAGGCCUAACACAUGCAAGUCGAGCGGUAGAGAGGUGCUUGCAUCUCUUGAGAGCGGCGGACGGGUGAGUAAUGCCUAGGAAUCUGCCUGGUAGUGGGGGAUAACGCUCGGAAACGGACGCUAAUACCGCAUACGUCCUACGGGAGAAAGCAGGGGACCUUCGGGCCUUGCGCUAUCAGAUGAGCCUAGGUCGGAUUAGCUAGUUGGUGAGGUAAUGGCUCACCAAGGCGACGAUCCGUAACUGGUCUGAGAGGAUGAUCAGUCACACUGGAACUGAGACACGGUCCAGACUCCUACGGGAGCAGCAGUGGGGAAUAGUUGGACAA